rnacentral:rRNA from 1 species
AGAAUCAACGCUGGCGGCGUGCCUAACACAUGCAAGUCGAACGAGAAAGUGGAGCAAUCCAUGAGUAAAGUGGCGCACGGGUGAGUAACACGUGACUAACCUACCCUUGAGUGGGGGAUAACCUAGGGAAACCUGGGCUAAUACCGCAUAAUACCUUCGGGUCAAAGGAGCAAUUCGCUUAAGCGAGGGGCCGCGGUCGAUUAGUUAGUUGGCGGGGUAAUGGCCCACCAAGACGAUGAUCGGUA